UACAGAGGGGGCAAGCGUUGUUCGGAAUUACUGGGCGUAAAGGGCGCGUAGGCGGCCUGCUAAGUCGAACGUGAAAUCCCCGAGCUCAACUCGGGAACUGCGUCCGAUACUGGCAGGCUUGAAUCCGGGAGAGGGAUGCGGAAUUCCAGGUGUAGCGGUGAAAUGCGUAGAGAUCAGGAAGAACACCGGUGGCGAAAGCGUUCUGCUAGACCUGUACUGACACUGAGGGACGAAAGCUAGGGGAGCGAAUGGG
rnacentral:rRNA from 1 species